AUGAUGAGUGGACAGGUGCAAGAUGUGCUAAACAGAUUUGAAGAGGCCAUGGAGAAGAUAGAUGGCAUUGAGAAGACGUUCGAAACAAAGCUCGAUAACAAGUUUAAUGAAUUGUUCACGCGUCUUCCACCACCACCGCGAGUUGCACCUGUCGCACCUCUACAACAACAAGAACAACAACAACGUCGCCUUCCAAAUCAAGUGGGACGAGCACUGCACGUUCCCCUUGAGCCUGGACAAAAUUCUGGUGCCGCUGCUACUGCUGGUGAUGCUUCUGUAGCUCCUGCUGCUACUGCAGUGGUGGAGGACUAUUACGAGUAUGGGGUUGAUCAAAAUCAAAACUAA
rnacentral:rRNA from 1 species